UUUAGUACUGCCAUAACACGCUUUCAACGCCACUUGGUUUCCAGAGAUAGAAAUUCUGACAAAUGCGUAUAUAAAUGCGGAUAGAUUUAAUACUUACAUUGGACAUUUGUUUUUAUACCUAACUAAAGUGCUAUUUACGCCGACACACGUAUAUUUACCGCUGGAAUAUUGCUUAAUAUGGAAGUAAAAAUGGGACUAUAUUUAGUGGCCGUCUGGUUCCUGAUACUUGGAGUUGCCAUUCUAUUCGUCAGUGCAGAAAAGGAUGCCAAUCAUCAUGACGAAACGAUGGAAGAGUUUUUUGAUCUGGACGAAAUAUUUGGAUAUCACGUUUCAGACUCUAAAGAUGCCCCUACUCAGAGCAACAACAAGCUGAGUGUCAAAAUAAGUAUUCAAGAUACAACCACAAAACAACCACCAACUAGAACAACAACAACCACAACGACAACUAAACCACCAAAAAACAAUGACGUGAAAACAGAUACUGACGAUGAGGAUGUUGACGUCAUAUCAGGGGCUGGAUCUGGAUCUGGGAUGGAUGAGGAUGAAAACCAAAAGAAAAACAAUGAAACUGUUUUAACUUUUCUUGUGAGCGGUAUCUUUUGUGAAAAGCGUUUAGACGACGACCAACCAGUAGUAAUUCUUGGCAGAAGGAUUGUGAAACUAUAAACUUGAUUAGUGAAAAGCUAAAUCUUUCUACUAACGUCACCCCACAACAAGCUGUACAUAGGGG